rnacentral:rRNA from 1 species
AUGCUCGCGAAACAGUGCUGGAGAUUAAUUGACAACUAUGAUUCCCUAUGUGCUCGAGUCUUACGAGCCAAGUAUUACCCCACGGGAGAUAUACUAAACAGCCAGUUAAAGAAGGGUUCGUCCUAUGUGUGGCAGAGCAUCUGGUCAGGAAUUCAAACUUUCAAACAUGGUUGUAUUUGGAGAGUGGGUAACGGAAACAAGAUAAACUGGGAUGAUUGCUGGAUUCCAAACAGUGCAUCAAAGAAAAUCCUUACAGCCUGUGGGAACCGAAUUCUCACAAUGGUGAACAAGCUCAUAGACCCAACUACGGGAGAAUGGGAUGAGCAACUGAUUUGGAACAACUUCUAGCAUAUAGACGUAGAAUGGAUUUUGCAAAUCCCAUUAUUAAAUGUGGAAACUGAAGACUAUGUGGCUUGGCAUCUAACAAAGAGUAGAGUUUUUUUAGUACGCUCCGCUUACUAUAAACAGUGGGAGAUGAGCUAUGCAUCAGAGGACAACAGCUUGGUCCGAUCAGCUAUGGCACCGCAUAAAGUUUGGGAAACCAUGUGGACUUUGAAAGUGCCUGCGAAAAUAAAAAUUCACAUCUGGAGAUGUCUACAUAACACAAUACCUUGCCGUAGUGUGCUAAUGAACCGUCAUGCGGGGAAUAUAUUUGGCUGUCCGUUUUGUUCAGAAGGAGCAGAAGAUCUCGCGCAUAUGCUGUUUAAAUGUGCUAGAUCACAAGAAGUGUGGAGAUCUCUGGGAGUUGCAGACGAUAUAAAUUUUGCUUGUCAAAUGGAUCGAGCGGGUUCAGCAGCUAUAGAGUUUUUUUCUCUGUGA